GGGUCAUAGAUGGGGUGUUAUUAUUUGCUGCGGCCGUGACGUGUGGUGCAUCAUGCUUGCUUGCAAACUGCAAUUGCAAGCUAAUUAAAUUGUGUUGUAUGGCUACGAGUUAGGAAAGUCCAGUAUGGUCCACACUCGAUCCUAUGGCUAUGGUUGCUAAAGAUAGAUGCAAUGGCCGUUGGUGUGAUUAAGAUAUUAGAGACAGCACACCCAUC
rnacentral:lncRNA from 1 species